CCCCGCCCCCGCGCCUGCGGGCGUCCCGGAGCGCACUCGAGGGGAAGUGCGGAAGCUGCAGCGGCCUCUGCGCGCCUGUAAUUAAGGGCUAUUUGUCACAUGAAGAAGCUGUAGAUUUAUAUUAUCUCACCUUUUUAAAGGCUUUUUUGGAAAUCCUUUCACUAUUUUAGAAACUUGCUGAACCCUUUUUUCAAAGAUCCAGUCCACAUCUGAAAAGUGAAAAUAUUUCACUUGUGCAGGAUAAACUUAAUUAGAAAAAAAGGAAGAUUACAAGACAAGGUUAUGGAUGGACUAAAAACAACAACAAAUUACUCCCACCAUAUGUGAGAUCAUAUGCCAUUUCCAAAGUGUAUCACGUACGAUGGCAUCAGUGGCUCUCAACACCCGAUGCACAACAGAGCCCGGCAAGCU